ACAGCAGUUCUUAAGAAAAACAGUGAUCGCCGAAAAAUGAAAUGAGGGAAAGAGGGCAAUGUCCUUUAAAGAUUCGAAUGAUGAAUCGUUUUCUACCGCUCCAUUGUUUAUAGGAGUGAGGUACACGAAAUCGAAGCGACAUUAUUCAAAAACUGGCGCGGGAAACCCAAAAGUCAUGUCAGGAUCUGAGCCGUCUCGGGAGUAAAAGUAAUGAUGAUGCACGCGAUCAGGUGAUUUCACUCUAAAAAGGAGACAAGCGUCAACGGCUUUACAUCUCCAUACGAGCAUACAUAUCCGUCCAUUGAAGACGUCCAUCGAGCACGCCUUCAACGGGCGGAGGGACUAACAGUAUAGGGUAAAAUCUGAUUCGCCCCGUUUCCGUCUAAGCAGACACGUUCUUCAUGACAAUGCCAUCCUCAGAUCGCGUCGCCUCAGGCAAGGACGUCCCAAUCCACUAGGUAGAAGAACGACGUCGUUUAAGGCCCGACUUCCUUUGUACAAGGAAGCCACCAACUUUUGUACCUUUCUUUUGAUUAUUUCGAGGAAGGUCUCCUAAUAUAUAUAAAUGGGGACUUCACCUUUGUAACGAUCAUGUGCUUUUACUCUAAAUAAUAUCAUCUC
rnacentral:lncRNA from 1 species